AUUUUCUUCAUAAUUUCUCAGCCAAAACGCCAUAUAAGGUCUGGAGAAAGCUGGUUUUUCAUAUUUUUACAUCAUAUCAAGAAUCCAAAGAAGAACGAGGAAAAGAAAAAGUUGCGGAAUAGUCCCAAAAUUUCAAUAUCUUCUACAAAUUAGCCGGAUUGACUUGAAGUGAAGUGGGUAGAU